rnacentral:rRNA from 1 species
AUGGCAACGACGGCCAGCGUGCCAGCCUGCCUCCGCAAAGGGACGAACUCCAUCAUCAUCCUCACCUCUUGGGCACUUUGGAAGCAUCGCAACGCAGCUCUCUUCGACAAUGCUGCACCCUCCUACAACAAACUUGUCGAGGACAUAAAACAGGAGGCGAAACUCUGGGCAAGAGCCGGCGCCAAAGGGCUCGAUAGGAUCAUUUCUGUAACAUAA